GGUGCUGUAGACUAAUUAGUUAGGUCCACUCCACGGAAUGGAGAAGAUGUGGGUUCGAAUCCCACUUGCACCG